rnacentral:rRNA from 1 species
UGGGGAAUCUUGCGCAAUGGUCGAAAGACUGACGCAGCGACGCCGCGUGCGGGAGGAAGCUCUUCGGGGUGUAAACCGCUGUUGCCCGGAACGAAACUCACCUUUCGAGGUGAUUGACGGUACCGGGUGAGGAAGCACCGGCUAACUCUGUGCCAGCAGCCGCGGUAAUACAGAGGGUGCGAGCGUUGUCCGGAAUCACUGGGCGUAAAGGGCGCGUAGGUGGCCACCAUAAGGCCGCGGUGAAAGUCUGGGGCUCAACCCCGGAUCGGCCGCGGCGACUGUGGGGCUCGGGUACCGUAGAGGCAGAUGGAAUUCCGGGUGUAGCGGUGGAAUGCGUAGAGAUCCGGAAGAACACCAGUGGCGAAGGCGGUCUGCUGGGCGGUGGACGCGAGAGCGUCCCUUGACCGACACUGAGGCGCGACAGCGUGGGGAGCAAACAGGAUUAGAUACCCCCGUAGUCC